rnacentral:rRNA from 1 species
UACGUAGGGGGCAAGCGUUAUCCGGAUUUACUGGGUGUAAAGGGAGCGCAGACGGUUAUGCAAGUCAGAAGUGAAAGCCCAAAGCUCAACUUCGGGACUGCUUUUGAAACUGUGUAACUAGAGUGCAGGAGGGGUAAGCGGAAUUCCUAGUGUAGCGGUGAAAUGCGUAGAUAUUAGGAGGAACACCGGCGGCGAAGGCGGCUUACUGGACUGUAACUGACGUUGAGGCUCGAAAGCGUGGGGAGCAAACAGG